GAAGCUGCCUGAAAGGUUUUUGUAACUAAGAUCAAUGCCAACGACAUGACCAUAAGCAUCACAAGUGACUCCUUCCCAAGAACAACAAUCAGUGUUGACAUCCCAGAGGUCAAAAUUGGAAGAGAAAGUAAAAUUAGGGGCACAGUAAAGAUGACGCUGCAAUUGCAGCAGAGGAGCUCUCUGGUCAUCAAGGCAUUGCUGAGGGAGAUGAGUUUGAGGAGGUGAAAAAGACAAGACAAGAGAAAGGAAGCAUGAGAAGAGGAAGGGUGAAAUAAGGAAAUGAAGAGUGUUCAUGUUGGUUGGGUGUGAAGAAGGAUUGUGCUUGGCAUACAACUUAUUUAUACACAAAUGUGUAGUUUUCAUGUUUGGCAUAUAACUUAUUUAUUAUUAGUAUUAUUAUUAUUAUCCCAUGCUUGCAAAGGUUGACCAAAAAGACUUAACUAAAGUGGUGGAACAUUAUUUUGAUGCAGUAUUGAUUGGGCAAAAAGACUUCGAAAUUGCAUGCUAUGCCAAACAUGAAAACUACACAUUUGUGUAUAAAUAUUAGACAUAUUAGAGGGAUUGAAACUGAAAUUUAACAUUUUAUUGUAAAUUUUUUUUUUAAAAAAAAGAUAAAGGAAAGGAAAGGAAAUAAAUUAUAGAUUAAAUCUCAAAUUUAGGCAUAUUAAAGAAACUAAAUUUUAAAUUUUUUUGUAAAAUGUAAAAUUAAAAAAGAAAAGGAAAAAUGAUUGGGUAUGCGACAUGUAAAAAGAAAGAAGGUCGAAACCAAUUUUUAUAUAUAAGUAUAUAGAUUAUAUAUAAUUAUUCUUACAUAAUUUAAUUUUUUUAAUAAAAAUUACUAUUAAAAUCUUUUAAUUAAAUUUUGGUAUAACACCCAAAAGAAUUAAUUUAUAUACCAAACUAAUUUAUAAAUGAGUACUUUUAAGUCCUAAUUUAUGAAACAGUACCAAACUUAUAAAUAUGCUAUGACCUAUUGAAGGGUUUAAUUAAAUUUAACACCCCAAAUUAUAAGUUGCAUCAUUCUAAAUUUAUCUCUAAACUUCAAAAACUUUUAACUAAAUAAUAGUAAAAUAUAUUGUUGGUCUUAGUCUUAGUUUUAAUAUUUGGGAUUGCAAGCGAAUUUCUAAGUCUUAGUAUAAGAAUAGAAUGUUAUUAACCUUAGUCAUGAAAAUAAUGUUUCUACCACUUUUCUUAACUGAUUGAGAGACAUUGAUGGGUCAAAGACUAAAUUUUGUUGGUGACUUCUCAAUGAACUUGUCCAAGUGUAUCAAAUCAAUAGAAACACAAUGAAACUAAAUAAUGGUUUGGUUUGAGGAAAAUAUAAGCUAUUCUUAGUCUUUGCUUUCAUUUGCACAAUGUUUGGCACUUUUCUUAUCAUAUUUGAACUUCACUCCAUAUGUUUGCUUUCAAUUUAAAACCAUAUUUAUUAUGUGGAUUAAAUCAUAGUAUUGUUAUUCAAAUUUAAAAUAAAGAAAUUAUUUCUCAAGGUAUCUAGUUGGUAAGUAAAUAUUUGCAUUUUGUUAGCCCAUUUACAGAGUAGAUGCCAUAGUUUUAAAAGUUGCUUCACAAUUAAGCCGAGGAUCGAAUCCUCGACCACGGAUUAAGGUAAGAAAGACUCUUACCAUCUCAUCUAACUCUAGUUAUUAAAAUUAAAAUUAAUUUGAAUACCAUAAAUUCAAAUAUUAAUAUUUACAUCUAUUCCAAAUUCAUUAUACAUAAUAAUUAAAAUAUUCAAAUCUAAAUAUUAUCAAAAUUCGUACUCUGGUGAUUAAAAUAUUUGUAUCCUAUUAGUCAUAUUAAUUAUGAUAUUUUCGUCAUUUUGCUUCAUCUUUAUUCUAUUAUGAUAUUUUCAUACUAUUAAUCAUAUUUGAUGUUCGCGAUUUAUUGAUAUAAAAUUUUUAGACAUUAAAUGAUGUUAUUAUUCUAAAUAUAUGCAAGCUCGACUUUGAAGUCCAACCUAUUUUAAACAUCUUUCCUUGUUGAUUGUGGAGAAUGGACCGUGAUUGCAUUGAAAAUACCAUUGAAGAAUAAUAAUUAAAAUAAUCAUAUUUUAUACUAUAAAAUAUUUAUUAUUGAAUAUUUAUAAAUUAUAUAUAUUUUUCUCAUUAAAAUAUCAAUAUAAAUAUUUUUUAAUUAUAUAUUAAGAAUAUUAUUUAAAAUUAAAUUAAAUUAUUAAAAUUUAUUAAUAAAAUAAAAUUAUAAUAUUAAAAUUAAAAAUAUAUUAUUAAUAUAAUUAUAUUAAACUUGAUUCAAAUUAAUUUUGUAUAUAAAGAUAAAAAUAUUCAUAAAUAAGCUUUGUUCGAUAAAUUAAUUACGUUUUCCAAAAAGUCAAAUUAAUUUACAGAAAAAUGAUAUUAUUUAAAUUUCCAUACUAAAAUACUUUUAAAUUUAAUUAAAAUUAUCAAAGACGAAUGAAAUUCAUGAAAUUAAUUUAACAACUUUUCAAUUUUUCGAAAAAAUCAAUUUGAUUCUUCUUCUUUUUUCAAAAUUUAUCAAGCCAAUUGAAACACAAAAAAAUUUAAUAUUUUUAAUUUUUGACUGACAAAAAAAAUGAUACUAUGAGAUAUUUUUUAUAUUAUUAGACCUAAUCUUAAUCUUUGGCAUUCCAUGCAAAUGUCUAAAUCUUUUUGCCCCUUUACUACGGCAUUAAAACAAUGUUUAGCAAAUUUCUUAGGGAGAUGGAUUGAUGGAUAUAAGUAGUGGAAAUUUUGAUGAUACAAUUCUUCUCUUCUUAACAAUUUCUUUCAAAGAAACAUAUUUAAAUUUCCACACCGAAACUUCUUUAAUUUAAAGGAAUAAAUCUUAAAAUUAUAAACUAUGUGUUAAUGUGUAAUUGUAUACAUGAAUUUUGAUUUUAUGCAAUGUUAUACAUGAAAUUUUGAUUUGAUUCAAUUCUUGUAAUUUAUUAACACAAUUAUUGAUAUAACAACAUUUUAUGUCUAUAUAUUGUAUACAUAAAUAAUUAUAUUUAUCUAAUAUAAAAAUAAAUUGAUGUUUUUAUUUCAUUAAAUGUGUAUGAUUAAAUCAAAAUUAAAAUUUGAAUUAUACAUUUGAACCACAAUUAGAGUUCCACGUGUAUGAUUACACCAAACUAAAGUUCAUAUAUAUAAUUGCACAUUAAAUUAAAGUUUAUAUAUAAUUUUAAGUUUUAUCCCUAUUUGAAAUUAUCAAAGACAAAUGAGAUUAACGAGAUGUAUUAUAUUAUAAACAAAGUUCGAUUCUUUGAAAAAGUUAAGCUCCAAUUUCAGAAGUUUUUUUUUCCAAAGUUUAUCAAACGAAUUCAAACACUAUGAGAUUAAACAACAUAUAAUUUUUUAAAUCUAAAAUAUGGAUUUUUUUUCUUUUUUAAAUCUAAAGUCAGUUCCAAUUUUCUAGUGUUUUAGAUUGUUUACUAACACUAAAAAGCACACCACAUUGUAAGGCAUCAUUUCUUUCAUUGUAUUUUUUUUUUUACGUAGACACCAAAAUUUCAUCGGGAUACAAAUCAGCACUUUGUGGUAAACUCAAUUUAACUCAAUUUUAAUUGUAGCAAAGCUUUUAACCGGGGGCUCUUUUUCCACCAUUUUUCUUCUAACACUUUCGGCUCCCAGCACUCUGGAGGCAUCCUCCAUCACUGAACAUUCUUCACUCACCUUCAUCAUUGCCACCACCAACCACAUCAGCAUCAGAAUCAACAUAAUCAUCUUCAUCUCAGUCACCUCUCUCACCUCUAACCCAUACCAACAUUUUUAGGGUACAAAAUUGUGCUCCAAGACACAAGCAUAGUGACACCUGAGAAUCAUCCAAUUCAUCUUCAUGUAUACGAUUUCUAUAUCAUUGCACAACGUUUAAAGAACUUCGAUCCUAAAAGGGAUACUUCUAAAUUCAACCUUGUUGAUCCACCUGUGAGGAACACCGUUGGAGUGCCUGUGAAUGGAUGGGCAACCAUCAGAUUCGUCGCUGAUAAUCCAGGUAAACACCCUUCUUCAUCAUUUCAAUUACUGUGAUUCCAUUACCAAUUUUUUACUUGUUAUUAGUAUUUUUCUUAAUCAUUUUCAUAGUAUUGUGGCAUACCAAUUCUUCCCUGCAUCUGGGAAACUAGUUUAAUGCUCUGUUUCAUUGGAUAAAUUUCCCUAAAAAGUAUGUGUACAUUGUAAUAAUAGUGUGAGAUAGUGUCGGCCUUUGGCUAACAUUGGAAAACAUACUAGAUUGUAACACAAAAAUUCUUUCAUUAUAUUUUAAUUAUUAUUAUCAUAUUAUUACAUACAAAGUUUAAUUGAAUGGUAAUUUUUAACGUAAUAAUAUUAUCAUUGAAAGGAUAAAUAGACUAAUAUAAAAACAAGUGUCAAGCUGCACUAAAACCCGGACCAACGGGUCCACCCUUUACACCCAGACCUAAAGCAUAAGACGUGAUUGAAAAAUGCUUGUAGUCAUAAGAAACUAAUUACCAUUUUCUUCAAAGAUAACGUACCUCCUGACUGGAUAUUCCAUGUCCUGUGCAUUGCUAAAUGAUACAUAAAAUUACAAUAGAAUCUGGAAAAUGAAUGUCAAUGCUACGAGUAGGAUAUGAUAGAGAAAUUUACUUUUCAACAACUAUAUAUAUCAACUACCUUUUCAAAUUAGAAAGACUAAUGCUUAAUUAGACUAAUGCUUAAUUACCAGCUAAUUUUGAAACAAGAAUUCUGAUGGAGUCACCUACACCUUACCUUAAACAUGAUAAUGCUGGCAAUUAUGGUGAACGUUGUGAACAUGACAUAGUAAACAGGACAUACAACAGUAGUAUGAAAAGUGUCUAAAGCAUGCAAAAUUGUAAGCUUUUAGUAGCAUCAAGAAUAAUAACAACUUAAAUUUAGAGUCAAUCAUCAUAUUAAAUCAAGAAUAUAAGUUGAAAGAAAUUAUUUUUUUAAAAAACACAUUUAUGCUUUUUUAUCCUAUAAGCAAUUUAAUAAUGAACAAAUUGAUCUCUCAACAAAAAUUACAAAAUAUUUCAAAAUAGUUUUUAAAAUUCAAAAUAUUUAUAAAAAAAUUAAAUUAUAUUUAUUUUUUCAAUUGUAAGAAUAUUUUUAUUAUUUUGUUUUGAAAAAGUUUUCAAAUGUAUAUAGUUUUAAAUUUAUGUGCUCUAACAUUGAAUUAGUUAUCCUAUAACAAGAUUUUAAUUUGACAUAUUUAAUUUUUUAAUUGAACUUGAAUAAUUUCACUCGAUUCAAUUUGACUCGAAUUUUAUUUCACUCGACUCAAUUCGAAAAAAUGUCAAAUCAAGUUAGGAUGAUAAAUAGGACUCAUUAGUUCAAUUAACUCAAAAAAUUUUCACUUGAUUCGAUUAAACACUCAUAAAAAUCAUCAAAAAUAAAUGAGACGGAGAUAAUUUGCUGAAGGAUAAGAUGAAAUGUGUUUUAGAAAUUAACAUUUUUUUUCUUUGGCAUGCAAGCUAAUGUUCAAGUCUUUUUACCCAAUAAUGAGUACUCCUAAAUCCAACUUAUAAAUAUGUUAUGAUCUACCAACGGGCUUAAUUAAAUCCAACACCCCAAAUUAUGGGCUCAACUCUAAAUUCAAGAUUUGGCAUUGCAUGCAAAUGUCUAAGUCUUUGCCCGAUCCUUACUAGAUGAAAACAAUGGUUUACCACUUUGUUUAAGUCAAGUCAUUAUAAACACAAAAAUAAAGCAUUUGUGUUAGCUGGUUGAGAUGGAUUGAUGAGUGAAAAUUAUGAUGACCACACAAUUUCUGCGAAACUUCGAUUGGUACAAAAUAAGUGCGAGGCUGUACCAAAACCCAACAUGUGUUUGAUAAAAUAAAAACCCAAUGUGUCAGCAAAAGGUGGGAGUAGCAGCAGCAGCUGUCUCUUUACACAAUCAGUACAAUGUCCAUCAGAUAUGGCUUUCAUGUUUGCUGGCUGUGAAGGAGGAUUGUUUCCAUACAACUUAUUUAUACACAAAUUAGUUCUUUCCAUACAUUAUUUUGAAUUUUGGACUAAGCCCGAUCACUACUGCAUCAAUGUUGUACCACUAACUUUAUUUUGGUCAAUUAAUAAAAAAAAAUGGAAUUGUGGUGAUUUUUUUUAGCUGAUUGAGAUAAAAUGAUGGCUCAAAGACUAAAUUUUCUCAUAACUUUGAUGACUUUUCAAUGAACUUAAAGUGUAUGGAAUCAAUAGAAAUUUAUGGAAUGAGAUAUUAUUGGACUUAGUCUUAGCCUUUUGGCACUGUAUGCAAAUGUCUAAAUCUUUUUUACCCCAUCAAAACAAUGUUUAGCAAGUUUCUUAUGUAGUUGAGAUGGAUUGAUGGGCACAAGUAGCGGAAAUUUUGAUGAUAAAAUGUUUACAAUUUUCCUCUUCUUAGCAAUUUCUUUGAAAGAAACAUAUUUAAAUUUUCACAAUAAAAUUUCUUUAGAUUUAAUUGAAAUUAUCAAAGAAAAAUGAGAUUGACAAGAUAUCUUAUAUUAUUAACAAUUUUUCGAUUCUUUCAAAAAAUUAAUUUCAAUUUCAAAAGUUUUUUGAAAUUAAUAGAACUAUCAUUGAAAGGAUAAACAAACUAGUAUAAAAAUAAGUGUCCGGCUGAACUAAAACUCAGACCAACAGGUCCACCCUUUACACCCGGUCCUAAAGCCCAACACGUGAUUGAUAAAAUAUAAAGCUAAUAUCUGUUUGGAAGAGCAAAGGAUGAGAGUAGCAGCAUCUGCGUCUCUUUACACAAUCCGUCCAAUGUCCAUCAGAUAUGGCUUCCAUCAACAUCAUGCCAUUAAAUCUCCUCAGCUGUACAAAUAUUCUGAAGAUAAAAUAAUUGAAGUAAAAGUAAAUUGCAUAUAAAAGAAAGCUUGGGCAGCCAUUUCCUUGUUUAUAAUAUCAUUAUUAGCAUGGAAAUUCAGUAGCAGUGAAACAUUGCAUCCCCCAAAUCCACAGGGACCUGGAUGCAAAAUGAAUAAACACUAAUAUAUACUCAUGGAAAACUACAAAAGGAAAAAAGUGCAUAUAAAGCAAAAUUACAAACCAGUGGAUUGAUCUUGUUAGGAUCAUUGCCUACAUUCUUCAUGAACCUCACAACUGUACAUUCCAUGUCCUGCUUCAAGUACCUCCUGCAUUGCUCAAUGGUAACAUCAAAUUACAAGUACGAUAUAAUAGUGAACUUGGUAAAGACAGCAAAAAAUGAGGUUAUAUAUAUAUAUAUAUAUAUCAACUAUCUGUUCAAAUUAGAAAGACAAAUGCUUACCAGCUAAUUUUGAAGAAAGAAUUCUGAUGGAGUCACCUAUAUCUUCUGCUAUUUCUUUUCCCACACUUUUUGAACUUGUCCACCCAUUUGUUUCCCAACUCAUUCAGCACUGUAUAUCCAAUACAUAGCCCAACGACUAAUCCACUAGCAUAACCUAUCAACGCAAUUUUCCAAGUAGACAGAGCAUAUAACCAUGAAUCUUCAUCUUCCCCUGGAGGUGGUGGCAUUGGAAGACCAACUUCAUUGCAUUUUCUUGACAAUGGCAGCCCACACAAUUUUGGGUUCCCACGGUAGGAAUCAUUUGUAAAUGUAAUGAAUUGGUUGCUUUGUGGUAUGCUCCCUUCAAGUUGGUUGUAUGACAAGUUCAAUGCUUCCAGGAAAGUUAGACUUGUAAGUUGUGGAGGAAUCUUCCCUGACAGCUUGUUUCUUGAGAGAUCCAAAGAUUCGAGGUCUUUUAGAUUUUGAAGUGCUAAUGGGAUUUCACUAGAGAAGCUAUUGUUGGAUAAGUUCAUCACUCUGAGUGACCUCAGCAUUUGUAUUUCUUCUGGUAUUCUCCCAUGGAAACUAUUGUUGGAAAGGUCAAGACAAGUAAGAAUUGCCAAGACUUUUUGGUAGAACAUUUCAAUCCCUUUGUUAACAAUUGUCACAGAGUCUUGAUAAUAAUUCUCUCCGAUAUAAUUCAGCUUAGCCUUUUCGUCAUUAGUCAUCUUCGCCAUUGCCUUCAAACUCUGCAAAAAUUCAAUGGACAAGUCACCUGAAAAAUUGUUGGAAGCAAUGUCCAAUAUACGUAGCUUUGGAAACCCACAUUCCGUGUCGAUUUUUGAAAUUGUACCGUAGAAUCUGUUUGCUCGCAAAACGAGAACCUUCAAGGAAGGUAGCUUCUCUAGCCAAAAUGGGAAUGUAUCAUGAACCAUAUUAUUUCCGAGGUCCAGAACCUCAAGUGCUGUGCAAUUGGCUAAUGAUCUCGACAGCUUCCCUUCCAAUUUAUUCCCACCUAUUUUGAGUGACCUUAGUCUAGUGGGUUGAAGGAAAUCAAUGGAUAGUUCACCAGAAAACUGGUUUGAAGCAAUGUCCAAUACAUCCAAAGUUGGGAAAACAGAUUUAUGUUUGAAAUGUUUAAUUUGACCAUAAAACCUGUUUUCCCGCAAAAUGAGAACCUUUAGCGCAGGCAAUUUCUCCAACCAAAAAGGGAAUGUAUCAUUGAUCAUGUUGCUUCCUACAUCCAAAACCAUAAGUUGAGUGCAUUUUGCUAAUGAUCUGGGCAACUUCCCUUCCAAUCUAUUCUCACUAACUUUCAGAAAUUGCAGUUGGGUUGCUUUUGAAAAUUUUGGUAUCAUUCCACUGAAGUUAUUUCCUUGCAAACCCAACCAACUCAGAGCACUCAUAUUGCCCAAGCAAUUUGGAAUUGGGCCACUCAAAUUGUUAUAAGAUACAUCGAAACUGUAAAGUUGACUCAUAUUGCAUAACCAAUUUGGAAUUGGGCCACUCGAAUUGUUAUAAGAUGCAUCUAAACCGCUAAGCUGACUCAUAUUGCAUAACCAAUUUGGAAUUGGGCCACUCAAAUUGUUAGAAGAUGCGUCGAAUUCUUCUAAAUUUUCUUGACUCUUUAAGAACUCCGGAAAUGCACUUAUGUUACAAGAUUCCAGACGCAAUCGCCUCAACAUUGGGAAAGAGAAGUUUGCAUCACUUAAAGGAAGUUGUUUUGGAAAAUCAAUCACAUUGAAAGAAAGGUCUAAGGAUAAAAGACUGCUCUUCCACAACCAAUUAGGCACAACACCAUGGAUAUGGUUGCUAGAAAGAUCUAAGUCAACCAACUUGUCUUGUGUUUUGAUGAACUCUGGAAACGCACUUAUGUUACAGGAUGUCAAACGCAAGUCUUUCAACAUUGGAAAUGAAAAGUUUGCAUCAUUUAAGGGAAGCUGUUUUGGAAAAUCAAUCAUAUUGAAAGAAAGGUCUACCCAUGAAAGACUGCUCUUCCACAACCAAUUGGGCACAAAACCAUGGAUAUGGUUGUUAGAAAGAUCUAAGCCAACCAACUUGUCUUGCCUUUUAAUGAAUUCUGGAAAUUCAGUAAGGUUGCAUGACCAUAGCCUUAGUGUCUCUAAUUGGGGUAAAGUAAGACUUCUGUUGUCGCUUUCAAUUAACAAGCUUAUAUUGUUUAGCCAGAGAGUCCUUAAGUUGUUGAGUUGGACAAACAUGUCAAGCUUCAUGGAACUGAAGCUAUUGCUUUCAAUAUAAAGCCAUUCAAGCCUUGGAAGUUGAAGGAUUGACUUUGGGAUUGGUCCUGUUAAAUAAUUAUUGCCUAUAUAUAGUUCUUGAAUCAAAGAAGAAGAUGCAUUGGGGAACUCAUCAAUUUUCCCAACCAAUUGAUUUUCUCCAAGAUACAAGAUCUUCAACGAUGGAAGAGUAAAUAAAGAAGAAUGUAUUGAUCCAGAAAGCUUGUUCCCUCCUAGAUAUAGGUUGACCAGGUGACUAAGAUUUGCAAUUGACGAUGGAAUGGGUCCAAAAAAAUUGCAAUCAUCAAGCUCUAAAUUUGUCAGGAACUUGAGGUUACCAAUUGAUUGGGGUAGUUUUUCACUGAAAUUUGUAUAAGAAAGCGACAAACUCUGUAAAGAAUUGUUUGAUGAAAAUUCUGGCAACUGACCCAUAAGUUGGUCAUUAUCUGAAAUGUCAAUGCUUUGCAUUUUUGGCGAUAAGAGAUUUUCAGUUGGAAAAUGGCCACUCAAAUUGCAGUUCCUCAAACUGAGAGAAACCAAACGAGAGGAAAUUUCCAAGAAAUUGGGAGGUAAAUAAGAGAUUGGGUUCCAAUCAAGGAUAAGUUUGGAAAGAAAAGAGAGUCUUGAGAGUGAAGAACAUAAUGGACCUUUCAAACCACAGCUUGACAGACUCAACACAUGCAGGUUUGGAAGUACAAGAGAUGUGGUUUCACACCAUUUAGUACUUUGAGUUGAAAUGUCGACACCAUCCAAAUAAAGCUCCGUGAGAAACUUCAAAUUCUUGAUAAAUGUCUUGAAGUUUGGUUUCUCCAAUUUUAAAGUAGCUGAAUCAUAAUCGUAACCAUUUCUCAAAUAACAAGAACCUUGAUUGGAUAGAUCAAGAGAGACUAACCUUUUUAAGAAUGAGAUCUCCACUGGAAUUUGGCCAUGGAAACAUGAGCUUGAAAGGUUGAGAUGAGUUAGAUUUUGGAGUUCAUCAAACCCAUAGGAAAACAGAGUGGUAUUAAAGUUGUUUCCAGCAAGAUUCAGGUGUUGAAGAUGAUGGAGAUCGAAUAUGGAGUGAAAGCUGCCUGAAAGGUUUUUGUAACUAAGAUCAAUGCCAACGACAUGACCAUAAGCAUCACAAGUGACUCCUUCCCAAGAACAACAAUCAGUGUUGACAUCCCAGAGGUCAAAAUUGGAAGAGAAAGUAAAAUUAGGGGCAUAGUAAAGAUGAUGCUGCAAUUGCAGGAGAGGAGCUCUCUGGUCUUCAAGGCAUUGCUUAGGGAGAUGAGUUUGAGGAGGUGAAAAAGACAAGACAAGAGAAAGGAAGCAUGAGAAGAGGAAGAGUGAAAUAAGGAAAUGAAGAGUGUUCAUGUUUGUUGGGUGU
rnacentral:lncRNA from 1 species